ensembl:lncRNA
UGUUGCCAGAGCGUCGCUAUUAUCCAUGUCACGUGGUACAGUCAAGCAGGCCAGCAAGCUAGAUAGCUUCCAACUUUCCAGAUGCAAAUAGAUGGCCAACUUGUGACACUGGCUGUCCUUUUCUCUUGGAAACUCUUUCCAAAAUUGGGAUCAAUAAAUUCAGAAGUAGCUGCCAUGAUUUCCUUCACUGACAUCCCAGUGAACCACAUUAGGAAGUGGGUAUAGCUGCAAAGAAAGGCAGGAAACUUGACUAACCUGCUGGAAUGAGUGUUGGGGUAGCCCAGAGGCAUGAUACUUCAGCUACCAGAAAUCCAGCGGGAGUGGAGGUGGAGAUGAGGUUGCAGAAGGCUUGGAAAGGCUGGGAUAAACUCAGGGUAGCACCCCUACUUGGCUCUCCACAGCUUGAACACUGAACCACUAUAAAUUGUUUCCAAAGUUGCUCUGGGACCCCUUGUCAUAGGCUGCUGAGCCCUGCCUUAAAAAGCUACCAUAUUCUAUCUCUAUCCUGUUCAUUAUUUAUGUUUAGCCUACUUACAAAAAACAGAUUUCAGAAGAUCAGGCCCCCUCUCUUAAACGCAGAACAGCAUGCAACUUUUACGUUCUGUGGAGACUGAAUCUUAAUCUACGUCACUCACCACUGUGAGUUGCCUGGCACAUCAGUAGUUGGUGCUCACUAGAUAGUUACUGAAUGUUUGAACUUUGCUCAUAUCAUUCUGCUUUCUCGUGUUUCUACAUAUUUUUAUUUGUUUAAAAACUUCCCUGUAAAGUCUUUUUAAAAGUCUACUAAGUUUUUUCGUAAUUCUUUACGUUGAAUAGUCAGGAAAGAUUUUCAGUGCUACAAGGAAGAGUCACUAUGUAGACACACAGACGUCUUCCUGAUCCUCCUCUGGGCUUCUUUUGCCUAUAGUACUGGAAGUGUUCUAACACAGGUGUACUGAGGGAAUAUUAAUCUGCAACUCCAGGGCUUUCUGUCAUCUGUUUCCUAAAUAAAUAGCUUUCAAGUGAAAUUGUUGUGGAUGGAAGACCUUCAAGGGUUGUAUCACCUGACAUUUAGUUAAUGCAUUUCUUAAGGGAAGUCUCCAUUUCUCUGCUUGAGUCUUGUUCUUCUCUAUUACAUCCUGGGCAGGUCGAUAUAAGACAAACAUUUUCAUUUCUUCUGCAUUCUAAAAGGUCAAAAUGAUAACAAAAUCAGAAAUAGAACCCACAUCUUUGGCUUUAUUGCAGAUCUCAUCCUACUUAACUUUUAUCCCUUGGCGCCUUGUUCUGUUGGCUGGGCUUAGAGACAACUAUCUUGAAAUAAGCAGCUCUCAGCUUCUUCCUUUGCAGCUCACCUUCUUAAUUCAUGUCAUACCAGCUUGGUAGGGUGACUCCUAAACUAUAACAACAAGAAUAGUAAACUUAAUUUUAUAUAGGAUCCUUCAUACAGCGCCAUUACAAAACGCUUUGCCAAUUUAAGAGUUGUAGAAUUACAAAGCAGCGCUAUCGAAUUAAAUAAGUAACAGCUGAUACUAAUAAUUAGCUUAAUUUAUGGUCUAGCAGAACUGUCACAACUGAGGCAGCUCUCCCUCCGCCUCUCAUCUCCCUCUCUUUUCUUCCUCAUCCCUCCUCCUUUGGCAAUGGCAACCAAGUGAAGUGCUGAGAUUGUCACAUUAGUCAUCAGAAAGUCAAGUCACUUCUUCCUUUACUCGGUAGCUUUACGACCUUGUUAUAUCAAGAAUUUUCAACCUUUUUGGAAUUGCUCCACCCCUUCAUGGUUUGAUUUCUCAACUGCUUCUCCUAAUGGCAGGCACCUGGUGGGAGAGGCACGGUAGGCUAGUUUGAAAUCUCUUGAGAAUUCACAACAAUCCCAGAAAGGCUCUUGCUUUUUGCAAAAUCAGAGUUGACAAUUACUGCUCUGCAAGGUAACCUUGUAAAGAGGGUUCUCCUCUCCACUUAAGCCAGGGGACUAAAAACUCAAACACAUCAGCAAGGUCACGCUGGGGCCACGUGGCAGAAAUUGGGAAUGACUCUGUUUUUCCAGUGUCUGUGCAUGGCAGCUUUCCACAGAUACUCUAACCUCACUGGGGAAGAGAUCUGUCAGUUUUCCUGAAGAUGAGCUUGUCUACUAUGAAAGAAAAUCAGUGCUCUUUAACUGUGGACUAAACCAAGACAGAUGUCCAGUUCUUGCCUCUUCCCACCAUGUAGUCUUCCUGAUUUUGUUUGGUUGAUACUACCACCAAAACAGGAGCCUUCCUGGGGCCCACCUGGUGGCGCAGCAGUUAAGUGUGCACGUUCUGCUUUGGCGGCCCGGGAUUC